rnacentral:rRNA from 1 species
UAUAGCCAAAGACCUCCCAAGCCGUCACACGCACCCCGGAGGCACGAAGCCCAAACACGAAAGUAGCUUUAUUAACUUACCGACGCCACGAAAGCUAAGAAACAAACUGGGAUUAGAUACCCCACUAUGCUUAGCCUUAAACUCAGAUGUUACAAAUACAAAUAACAUCCGCCAGGGUACUACAAGCGCUAGCUUAAAACCCAAAGGACUUGACGGUGUCUCAGACCCACCUAGAGGAGCCUGUUCUAGAACCGAUAAUCCCCGUUAAACCUCACCACCCCUUGCUAAUCCCGCCUAUAUACCGCCGUCGCAAGCUUACCCUGUGAAGGACUCAUAGUAAGCAAAAUGGGUAAAUCCCAAAACGUCAGGUCGAGGUGUAGCUUACGAGGUGGAAAGAAAUGGGCUACAUUUUCUAUAACAGAAUACUACGGACAACACCAUGAAACUGGUGCUCAAAGGUGGAUUUAGUAGUAAAAAUCAAAUAGAGCGUGUUUUUGAACCAGGCUCUGAGACGCGCACACACCGCCCGUCACUC